rnacentral:rRNA from 1 species
GGCUUAAUUUGACUCAACGCGGGAAAUCUUACCGGGUCCGGACACACUGAGGAUUGACAGAUAUAUACCCCGUGAUUUUAUCGCGGGGUUGAAAGAUGCUAGUUCUUUCAUGAUUAUGUGAUAGGUGGUGCAUGGCCGUUCUUAGUUCGUGGAGUGAUCUGUCUGCUUAAUUGCGUAUCAAUAAUAGAGACCUAGUAUACGCGUAGACUCAUGCGGUAGUGACCCCCCUUCACAGGGCGCGUGUCGCACGUAUGUUAUACGCACAGGUCUCCGAUAGCAACGAACGUGACCGUACUCUAUUGUUGCAGCGACAAUACCUUUCAACGGGUAUUACCGCUGCUUAGCAAGAUUCGUCUUGCAUUAAACUAUAGAGACCGCUGUUUCUUCUUUAAACCAGAGGAAGGAUACGGCAAUAACAGGU